UGGGGAAUAUUGGACAAUGGGCGAAAGCCUGAUCCAGCCAUGCCGCGUGAGUGACGAAGGCCUUAGGGUUGUAAAACUCUUUCGUCGGGGACGAUAAUGACGGUACCCGAAGAAGAAGCUCCGGCUAACUUCGUGCCAGCAGCCGCGGUAAUACGAAGGGAGCUAGCGUUGUUCGGAAUCACUGGGCGUAAAGCGCACGUAGGCGGAUAGUUAAGUCAGGGGUGAAAUCCUGGGGCUCAACCCCAGAACUGCCUUUGAUACUGGCUGUCUCGAGGUCGAGAGAGGUUGGUGGAAUUCCUAGUGUAGAGGUGAAAUUCGUAGAUAUUAGGAAGAACACCAGUGGCGAAGGCGGCCAACUGGCUCGAUACUGACGCUGAGGUGCGAAAGCGUGGGGAGCAAACAGGAUUAGAUACCCCCGUAGUCCCUGAGCGGGCUGGCAAGGCGCAU
rnacentral:rRNA from 1 species